rnacentral:lncRNA from 1 species
CGGCCUCAUCUACGAGGAGACCCGCGGCGUCCUCAAGAUCUUCCUUGAGAACGUCAUCCGCGACGCCGUCACCUACACCGAGCACGCCCGCCGCAAGACCGUCACCGCCAUGGAUGUCGUCUACGCGCUCAAGCGCCAGGGCCGCACCCUCUACGGCUUCGGAGGCUAGAUCCGUUGCGUAGUGGAGCAACUUCCUCGUUUGCUCUCUGUGAUCUGUGCUGUGGUGGAUGAGAUUUACUGAUUUUGUGUGCGUCGUUGUGUUCUGCCUUGGGUUCAGUAGGCUGUGUAAUACCAUGUUCUGUUCAAUGCAAUCAGUUCGGUUCUGAAUCCUGACGAAAUGCUUCACUGUUGAAUUGCGUUUUGUUUUUUCUAAUACUGAUUGGCUCUAUCUGUUUGGACACUGCAGCUGCACUGACUUAAGUACUUGACACUCAUUUCUUCCCAGAUUAGAUUGUACUGCUACUGAAUCCGGCUUUCGUUUGUUCAGUUAUUUGGCGCUAAUUGUUUCUCACUGAAAAGUUCUCUGUUUAGAUCGCUUAUCUGUACUGAAUCAACAUUCGUCUAUCUGGCACUCGUUGCAAUCUGUAGAAGAGAUGGAAUUCUUCCGCUCAGGCAAGUACAGGGUCCGGUGUUUUGGUUUGGCAUCACUGCGGAAUGAACCUCGAAUGUUUCUGUUGUUUUCAGUGGUAUGAAUACUCAAAAAUUUGGCUUCUGUUCCUGAAGGUCUUCACCAAACACAUUUCUUUGUCCUAACUGUACUGUUCCUUUGAGAAAUAAACAGUAGAGAUUAUAUCCUUUUCUUAAAAAUUUUGCUCCUCAUCAGUGCAACCAAUUCAUAGGUGUUGUUUCUCAGUUCCUUUUGAGAUAUUGUGUGGCAUUAUUGUUCAUUCUCUAGGGUAGGAAUUGUGUGACUCAGUUCCUUAAUCUUCAUUAAUCAAGCUAAAAGAAAGAAGAUCCUCACUGAUGUGAUAUCGCCAGGGCCACCUAUGAUUACUGAUCAGGACUGUUAUGACUCAAGAAUAAGCUAUCUUGAAGGUCCAAGAUACGAAGAAGCUCUUCCCGGGGAGUGGGAAUACACUCGUUUAUUUGUUCUCGAAGAACAUUGACUGCCACCACACCUUUCUCACUUCUUUUUUUUACAACGAGCCUCCUAGCCAUUAAAAAAACCAGACAAGGCCAAUUCUAGUUUACUACAUACUCCCUCCGUUUUUAAAAAUCUUGUCUUAGAUUUAUCUAGAUAUGAAUGUAUCUAGUCAUAUUUUAGUAUUUUGAUACAUCCAUUCCUAGACAAAUUUAAAACAAAUUUUUUGUGACGGAGGGAGUAUAAAAUAUGCACAUGUUAAUAACUUAAUAUUACGAAGGGCAAAAGAUAAGUAAUACUUUGGGUCUAUUAACCCCUUUUAUUUUGGGUUCAAAUUUGACCGUAAAAUUAACUUGGAAAAUACUCCCUACAUUUUUAAAUGUAAGCUUUUUAAAUAUUUAACUAGGAAACUACAUACGGAUAUAUAUAAACAUAUUUUAGAGUGUAUAUUCAUUCAUUUUGCUCCGUAUUUAGCCCCUUAGUGAAAUCUUAUACUCCCUCCGUCCCAAAAUUCUUGUCUUACAUUUGUUUAGAUGUAAUUGUAUGUAGUCAAGUUUUAGUAUUUUGAUACAUUCAUUUUUAGACAAAGCUAAGACAAGAAUAUGUCACAAAAAGUGUAUUAUGGGAAGACUCCAUUAAAUACGAAUCCAACAAUAUGUUUUUAUAUCAUAUACGUAGUUUAUAUUUAAAAAAAAAACCUGAUAGCUGAAACAAACUCCCACUAAUCAUAUUCGGCGCCACGUCAUCGAUCCAGUCCACCACCGUCCCGCCCAUCCCACCCUUCUGAUCUGAAUCCAACGUCCCAUCCCCACCCUCUCACGGAUCGACCCAGCAAAACCUCCCGCCCGAAGCCCCCCAAAAGUUCGCGCUUCCCUCCAAAAUCCUUCCCAUAUAAACCAGCCCCCACCCUGAAAUCCCCAAUCCCACCACAAGCUACAGCCCCCAAAGGAGUUCCUCUUCUUCCUAAUCACACACUCUCUCGGAGCGGAGCGGAGCGAAGCGGCGAUGUCAGGGCGCGGCAAGGGCGGCAAGGGGCUGGGCAAGGGCGGCGCCAAGCGCCACCGGAAGGUCCUCCGCGACAACAUCCAGGGCAUCACCAAGCCGGCGAUCCGGAGGCUUGCCAGGAGGGGCGGCGUCAAGCGCAUCUCCGGCCUCAUCUACGAGGAGACCCGCGGCGUCCUCAAGAUCUUCCUCGAGAACGUCAUCCGCGACGCCGUCACCUACACCGAGCACGCUCGCCGCAAGACCGUCACCGCCAUGGACGUCGUCUACGCGCUCAAGCGCCAGGGCCGCACCCUCUACGGCUUCGGAGGCUAGAUUCUUGCCGUGCUGUGCUGUUGGCAGCUGUAUGCCCUGUGUGAUAUGCGCCCUGGUGGAUGGGAUUUACUUCUCUGUCGUUCGUUUGUGCUCAGUACGCUGUAGUAACAGUAUAUGCGUUCAAUGAAACUACUCCGAUCCUGAAUUCUGAUGAAACUCUUCAGUUAUGAAUCGUGUUACCGUUUUUCCAAGACUUUCUGAUUUGAUCUGUGCAGCUAGAAUUUUACACAGUUGCAAUCUGAUCAGUCUUUUCUUUUGUCACGCAUUGCAAUCUGGAC